UACGUAGGGUGCAAGCGUUAAUCGGAAUACUGGGCGUAAAGCGUGCGCAGGCGGUGAUGUAAGACAGAUGUGAAAUCCCCAGGCUUAACCUGGGAACUGCGUGUGAUACUGGAUGGCUUGAAUCCGGGAGAGGGAUGCGGAAUUCCAGGUGUAGCGGUGAAAUGCGUAGAUAUCUGGAGGAACACCGGUGGCGAAGGCGGCAUCCUGGACCGGUAUUGACGCUGAUGAGCGAAGCCAGGGAGCA
rnacentral:rRNA from 1 species